GUAUGACAUAUAUUGACAUAUAUUCUUUUGUGAGGAUAUCAAUAAACAGAAGGAGAAUUGCUGCAUUUGAGGAAAUGUGCAUUUCUGGGGCAUAGAGGCAGUUAAGUAACUUUUCCAGGACCUCAUAGCUGGUGAGGGGCAGAGACAAAAAUCAAAACCCUGAGGAGCUAUUUGCAAGGUAGUCUGGGAACAGUAGCAAAGGCACAGAGCUACAAUGGCAAGAAAUGUCUCAUCACUGUAAUGUUACUAUUCAUGCAGGGCCUGCCUGGGUGAUGACCAGGAUGAAGAUGCUCAGACCAUCAUCUUCCUCCAGGAUGAGUGCCACACAAGCACGCCAUGAGGCACCUUAGGGACAUGGUUGGCAUCGACACCAUUACAGGGAUGUCCAGAUUGGAGACAUAAUGACAGGUGGUAAGGGCCAGCUCCUGAGCAAGAAAGACCAUCUGUUGCUUCUACAUGCUGAGGGGUCAAGGCUGCUGGCACCGAGAAGCACUUUCAGAAAUUCAAGCCCCGAGAGACCUCCAUUCCCUUAAUAAUGUUUUCCUACCACAUGGCUCAAUUUAAAAAUUUAUAAAUUUAUAAAAUACAUCUGUAGACUGGGAUGAACUGCUACUGAGCUGAUAUUUCUACAGAAAUCAAUCUGAAAGUGAGGCAGUGCUGGGCUUUAGACUCUAGCCUGGGCUGGCUUGGAGCAGAAUUGGGAAGCAAGGUGUGGUGGGUUGAAUAUGUCUCCCCAAAAUUCAUGACCACCCAAAACCUCAAAUGUGACCUAUUUGGAAAUAGGGUAGUUGCAGAUGUCAUCAGUUAAGAUGAGAUUAUACUAGAUUAGAGAGGGACCUAAAUCCAAUGGUGUCCUUACAAGAAAAGGAGAGGACACAUGGGGAAACACCCUGGGAAGAAGGCCGCGUGACAAUGAAGGCAGGGAAGAACCAAACAAUAAUUCAGGUACAUUGAUAAAGUUGGGGACUUCCUCACUGCCAGCCCUGAAUCACCGUCUCUUUUCAGCGUUUUCUCCUAUUGGUCAGUUGGACUGAAGGAGCCCGAACUCUGAACCUGGUACACAUACUCAUGCCCCAUCACCUCUUCUGACAGGUGCUGUCUCCAUUCCAGGCUCUUCAUGAAUCAACCACUCUUCAUUCGCUGGGCGGGGGCCAGGUGCUCUGUUUGACUGGGUGCUCCUGCUGACUGAGGAAAGCACCACCUUAUCUCGAUUUGAUCUACCACAUUGUUCCACCUUUUCUACAGUGUGAUCCAAGCUACAUGUUUUAGCCUCUUCUCUUGACCAAAACUAGAAUAAGCACGAUUACUACCAUCAUCACCACAAAAACCCCAGUAGCAUAGUUGUGAAUUCCCACUCCCCCCACUUUCUGUUCCCUCCAUAUGGCCUCUCUCAUGUUUUUUUUUUUUAAAUACUCACCAUUCUCAUUUAUUUUUAUUUAAUUAAUUAAUUUUAGUUAUUUAGAGACAGAGUCUUGCUGUUGCCCUAGGACAGGGACCAAGGGGUUCUGGCAAGCCCAGCUUUCAACAGCAACAUGGAGCAGAUGACAGUGGAGGAAGGGCCUGAGGCUUUACCUGAAAGGAAGCCCAGGAAAGGUCUAAGUGAUAAAGGAAUCUUUAUGGAUGGGGUCCAUAGUGGAGUGUGGCCCUGCUAACACUAUGAUUUCAGACUUCUGGACUGCAGAACUGCAAGAGUUCUAUUGUUUUUGUUU
rnacentral:lncRNA from 10 species